rnacentral:rRNA from 1 species
GAUGAACGCUGGCGGCGUGCCUAAUACAUGCAAGUCGAGCGAACAGACGAGGAGCUUGCUCCUCUGACGUUAGCGGCGGACGGGUGAGUAACACGUGGAUAACCUACCUAUAAGACUGGGAUAACUUCGGGAAACCGGAGCUAAUACCGGAUAAUAUAUUGAACCGCAUGGUUCAAUAGUGAAAGACGGUUUUGCUGUCACUUAUAGAUGGAUCCGCGCCGCAUUAGCUAGUUGGUAAGGUAACGGCUUACCAAGGCGACGAUGCGUAGCCGACCUGAGAGGGUGAUCGGCCAAAAUGGAACUGAGACACGGUCCAGACUCCUAAGGGAGGCAGCAGUAGGGAAUCUUCCGCAAUGGGCGAAAGCCUGACGGAGCAACGCCGCGUGAGUGAUGAAGGUCUUCGGAUCGUAAAACUCUGUUAUUAGGGAAGAACAAAUGUGUAAGUAACUAUGCACGUCUUGACGGUACCUAAUCAGAAAGCCACGGCUAACUACGUG